rnacentral:rRNA from 1 species
UACAGAGGUCUCAAGCGUUGUUCGGAUUCAUUGGGCGUAAAGGGCGCGUAGGCGGGAUGGCAAGUCGGUCGUGAAAUCCUUCGGCUCAACCGAAGAACGUCGAUCGAUACUGCUGUUCUUGAGGGUUGCAGAGGAGACUGGAAUUCCCGGUGUAGCGGUGAAAUGUGUAGAGAUCGGGAGGAACACCGGUGGCGAAGGCGGGUCUCUGGGCAAUUCCUGACGCUGAGGCGCGAAAGCGUGGGGAGCAAACGGG